AGUGAACGCUGGCGGUAGGCCUAACACAUGCAAGUCGAACGGCAGCACAGUAAGAGCUUGCUCUUACGGGUGGCGAGUGGCGGACGGGUGAGGAAUACAUCGGAAUCUACUUUUUCGUGGGGGAUAACGUAGGGAAACUUACGCUAAUACCGCAUACGACCUACGGGUGAAAGCAGGGGAUCUUCGGACCUUGCGCGAUUGAAUGAGCCGAUGUCGGAUUAGCUAGUUGGCGGGGUAAAGGCCCACCAAGGCGACGACCCGUAGCUGGUCUGAGAGGAUGAUCAGCCACACUGGAACUGAGACACGCUCCAGACUCCUACGGGAGGCAGCAGUGGGGAAUAUUGGACAAUGGGCGCAAGCCUGAUCCAGCCAUACCGCGUGGGUGAAGAAGGCCUUCGGGUUGUAAAGCCCUUUUGUUGGGAAAGAAAAGCAGCAGGUUAAUACCCCGCUGUUCUGACGGUACCCAAAGAAUAAGCACCGGCUAACUUCGUG
rnacentral:rRNA from 1 species